rnacentral:rRNA from 2 species
UUAAAUUGAAGAGUUUGAUCAUGGCUCAGAUUGAACGCUGGCGGCAGGCCUAACACAUGCAAGUCGAACGGUAACAGGAAGCAGCUUUCUGCUUCGCUGACGAGUGGCGGACGGGUGAGUAAUGUCUGGGAAACUGCCUGAUGGAGGGGG